ensembl:lncRNA
CUGAGAAUUUUGCUCAAGACUGAAGCUCCACUUCAAGUUCCAGAUGUCCUGCUUAUCUGUGAUAAACAACCUUCCUGAGACAGAAUGUUUCUCUUCAAAGAUCCAAGGCUGGCAUAAGUAAGAAACAUCCUUUAGAUGAGGUAGAAGUCCAAAAUAGUAACCAAUGAGAAGGGAGUAGGUGUCCUGGUGCACAAAUGUGGAAUUAGUAAGCUUUGGGAUACCUCCGCAAAUGACCACUGAAGCACAAAUUCAAAUAUGUUAAAAUUCUCUCCCACACAAAUUCUCUCCCACACAAGCACAAAUUCAAAUAUGUUAAAAAAAAAUUGUACUUAAAUAAUCCUAUGAAUAUGUAAUAGGUAGAUGUGACUUAUGUAUUAGGCGUCUAAUGAAAAAGCUUGGGACUCUAAAUAGAAGUCAGUGUACAGACUCCAUGAGCUCAAUUCAUGGAGAUUUCCCACAUUAUAUCCUGUGCAGAAUAUAUAAAUAUCUCCUCUCUAAACACCUGUCUUUUGCAUGUAUUUUGUGCAGGAAACAUCCUGAAACACUUAAUUGCAGAUAUGAAUAUUAUUAGUGUAUCAGUCUGUGCCUCUACUAUGUUAUGGGCUUGUAGCAUAUACCAGUAGCACUGUAAUUCUAGAAAGCCAGUCCCAAAGCAGUUCAAUUAGCAUUCACCUAUUAAAUGGUACUGCUAAGUUCCUCCGAUGAUUUUUUAUCUAACCUGUGAGUGAAUGGUAAAGUAGAUGAGCUCUGUUGGGUGCUUUACUAAUAGGUCUCUGAGCAGCUCCAUGGCUCCAAUGUGUUUGAAUGUUCACACUGUGUUUUGGUACUUGGAUUUAUCAGUUUCUGUGUUUGUUGGAGAACCUGGGACUGAAUCCUAACUCCUCAUAUUGUUUAAAAAAAAAAGAGAGGUAAUGGAUGGUAAAGGACUUCAUGUAGUGUCCUUAAAUAUGUGUUUAGUGCAGCAGAAACUUCCUCUUUCCCCUGUAUUUUGGUCCUAAUCAGUCAAAGAAAUUUAUUAUCUAGGACUAAACAAAGUUUGAGAAACACUAUCCAGAGAAGAGGGCCUCUUUAGGACUUCACUGAUGGAAUGGUGCUGCAUUUGCUGGAUUAAUGCUAACAGCACAAUGCUAUUUUAUAUAGGCAAGUACAUAUUAUUAUAUAUCAGUCGGUACACGUUUAUCUUUACAGGUAAGUUACUUGUCCCAGUGUAUGGAUGUAAAUGAAGAUGGCGUGUUUCAUUGUUUUGGAUCAGGGUAAUAUAUGGCAAGAUUAUCACUCCAGUAAAGCUAUCAGUCAGUAACACCGGUGCUUCACAGUAUUAGACCUGAGAAAUGCCUUUCCUGCAUCCCACUUGAAUGUUUACGUCAGAAGCUGUUUGUAUUUGAGUGGAAGAAAAACCCAAUUCACUGGGUGUACAUAGUGCUGCCAGAGGGAUUUAAGAGCAGCCCAUCUAUCUAUGGCAAUCAACUAGCAAAGGAGCUGGAAUUGUGGAGGCAGGAAAAUAGAGAGGGAAUUACGUUGCAGUACAAUGAUGACGUAUUGCGAGCCGGCAAGUCUUGAGAAGAAUGUUUAGAAUUAACCAUUAGGUGUGGGAAUAGCAGAAAGACUAUUCAGAGCAGUGGCUGUGAAGCAAGAUAAACAGCAUGAGAAAGCAACGCUGGGAACUAAGGAUAUCUCUAGAGGAAAAGCAAGAGGAACGGCCCAUGGCUUUUAUUGCAUAAGCACCUGUAUGCAUGGUUAAAGAGUGUUUGUGGAAUACUUUGUUGAUGUGUAAAGGCAGAUGAAAAAUCUGGUGUGCUCUAGACCACAAAGCAAAAAGAAAGUGUCUUGCUGGACUCAAAUGCAGAAGGAAGUGGACAUGCUGGGCAGAAAUCUGGAAGCAGUAGUCAUUGCUGGACAUAAACCAAGAAAGAAUGGGUCUAGCUGGACAGAAACCAAGAUGGAAGGGGUCAUGCUCAGCCCAAAGCCAGAAGAAAUUGGACUUGCUUUGCAAAAACCAUGAAGGAAGGAGGAUUGAAGGGCUGAAUGCCAGAAGGAGUGUGGCUUUCUGGGCCCAAAGCCAGAAGGUAAGGUUCUUCCUUAGCCAAAAGAAAUAAAGAAUGGUUUUGCUGCUCCAAAAUCCAGAAGGAAGGGGGCUUGUAAGACCAUACCAAGAAGAAAUGGGGAGUGCUGGGCCACAAACCAAGAAGAAGGGGUUUUGCUGGACUGAAACCCAGAAGGAAGGCAGCUUGCUGGGAAGAAACCAAGAAGGAAGGUGGCAGGGUGGGCAGACAGCCAGAAGGAACGGGGCUUCCUAGGCCAAAACGGAGAAGGAAAGGGGCUUGCUGGGCAGAAAUCCAUAAAGCAGAGUUCUUGCUGGGCAGAAACCAAGAAGGAAGCGGGUUCACUGGGAAGAAACCCAGAUCGAAGAGGUCUUGCUGGGCCCAAAGCCAGAAAAAAUUGGACUUGCUAUGCUGAAAGGGUGAAGAAAAGGAGUUUGAAUUGCCAAACGUCAGAAGGAAUGUGGCUUUGUGGGCCCAAAGCCAUAAGGAAAGGUCCCUGUUGGGACAAAAUGAAUAAAGAAUGGGUUUUCUGCUCCCACACCCAGAAGGAAGAGGGCUUGUAAGGCCAUACCCAGAAGAGAGGGGGAGUGCUGGACAACAAACCAUAGGGAAGGAGUCUUGCGGGACUGAAAACCCUGAAAAAGGGGACUUUCUGGAGCGAAAUUCAGAAGGAAAGGGGUUUGCAGGGAAAAAAGCAGGAAGAAAGGGGCAUCCUGUGUCGAAACCCAGAAGGAAGGGGUCUUACUGGACUGAAACCCAGAUGCAAAGGAAACUGGCUUGCUGGGAAAAAAGGCAGGAAGAUUGGAACAUCCUGUGCCAAAACCCAGAAGAUAGGGGUCUUGCUGGUCCAUACCCAGAAAAAAUUGGGCAAGCUAGGCCACAAAGAAUAAAGAAGGGAUUUUGCAGGACUGAAAUGCAGAGGGAAGUGGACGUGCUGGUUAGAAAUCCACACACAAUAGACAUUGCUGGACAGAAACUAAGAAGUGGAUCUUGCUGGACAGAAACCUAGAAGUAAGGGGACUUCCUGGGGCUAAACUCAGAAGGAAGGGGAAAAAAGGCAGGAAGAUAGGGUCAUCCUGUGCGGAAACCCAGAAGGAAGUGGGCUUGCUGGUCCAUACCCAGAAAGAAGUGUGAGUGCUGGACAACAAAGCAUAAAGAAGGGGUUUUGCUGGACUGAAACGCAGAAGUAAGGGGUCUUGCUGGGCAGAAAAUCUGAGGAAAGAGAGAUUUCUGGGCCAAAACACAGAAGGAAGGGGCCUUCCUGUUGAAGGUUAUUUGUGGUCAGAAAUGUAAAUGGAAGUGGUUGAUUGCUGGGCCAAACCCAAGAGGGAAGACGGCUUGCUGGACUUAAAGGCAGAAGGAAUGGGCUUUCCAGUGCCCAAACCCAGUAAGAAAGCAGGCCUGUAGCUCCAUAUCCAGAAACAAUUGGGAGUGCUUUGCCACAAAGCAAAGGAAGUGGUCUAGCUGGACUUAAACGCAGGAGAAAGUCAACAUGCUGGGCAGAAGUCCACAAGCAAAGGCACUGCUGGACAGAAACCAAGAAGGAAUAGAUCUUGCUGGACUGAAACUCAGAUGGAAGGGUACUGGCUAGGAAAAAAGGCAAGAAGAAAUGGGCAUAAUGUGCCAAAACCCAGAAUGAAGGGGUCUUGUGGGUUCAUAUCCAGAAAAAAUCAGGUGUGCUGGGCCACAAAGCAAAAAGAAGGGGUCUUGUUGAACUGAAACGCAGAAAGAAGUGGAUAUGCUUGGCAGGAAUCUGCAAGCAAUUGACAUUGCUAGACAGAAACCAAAAGUAAUGGGUCUCGCUGCAAAGAAACCCGGAAGGAAGGGGACUUUCUAGGGCUAAACUCAGAUGGAAGAGCGUCUGCUGUGAAAAAAGGCAGGAAGAAAUGGGCAUCCUGUGUCUAAACUCCAUAUGGAAUGGUGCUUGCUGAUCUGUACCCAGAAGGAAGCAGGAGUGAGGGAGCACAAAGCAUAAAGGAGGCGUUUUGCUGGACUGAAAUGCAGAAGGAAGGGAAC